CAUGAAUAACUCAUAAACUAUUGUUCUGUAAUUGGCCAAAUAUAAAAAAUAUAGAGCAAAAUACAAGUUUUAUUCAAAAGACUUCUUUGUGACAUUCAAAAAUGGCAAAAAUCCCAUUUAUCUUCUUCACUGUGGUCAUUUCUGCAGUUGUUUUGCUCAAUCAAUCAGGAGCAGCCUUUGCUAAUGAAAAGAGAAGUACAGAGGAUGAAAACGGAAGCCUAGUAAGGCAAGUCUUUACAGCAGAACAAGCCUUGCGACACGAGGCGAAGUUUGAGACUUCAUCAGGCCAUUUGCAGUGCACUGAAUGUGGUGGAGAAUGCUCAGAUUGGAAUGAGUGUUGCGGACAUUGUGUUUGUGUCAUUGGCAGAUGCUUAUAUCUGCCCAUGUUGAAGGCUCUUGCUACUGAAAUAUAAUACUACCCCGCCGGCACUGAGAUUUUAGGGGCCAGGGCCAAAAAUAAAUUAUGGGCCUUAAUUAUAAAAUAUAUAUUUAUAAUUACAAAAUUUAUAAUAUAAAAAAAUAUUUCACGCCAAUAACAGAGCUUGAUAUUAUCUGCUUUUUAUUUGAUAAUCAUGCAUUUAAAACUCAAUAAUUAGUAAAUAAGGUAACAAUUAUCAUUAAUAACACUUUGGCUUGGUGGUUAAAUGCACAAUUUAAUCACAUAAGAUUUCAAAUUCGAUGCGGCAAAAUUUAUCUAUUUUUUUCGUGUGUCCUGGGCGCAAGCCGUGCCAUCAAAUUCAAUGGGGCAAAAUUUAUCUAUUUUUUUCGUGUGUCCUGGGCGCAAGCCGUGCCAACCUAUUGCUAAUUUUCCUAAUCACAAAAAGUAAUUUUAUGAAAGUAUUGAUGAGAUGAUUCAAACAAAAUUAUAUUUUAUAUUUGCACUUAUAUAUUAAUAUAGCAAUAUAUAAAAUAAACUUAAAUUAAAUAAUAAAUAAAUAGUAAUUUAUAUUUGAGUCUUGAGAACGGAGGAAAUCAGGCAACCAAAUGGAGUACAAAAAUAGGUAUUUAAAAGACGAGCGAAAAAUAUUGCAGUACCCAUUACUCUUUCAUUGCCGCCUUUGUCCCUCGUCGGAAAAAUCGAUUUCCGGUGCCGGAAUUCUAGGGUUCGAAGUUCCUAUGAAUCCAUGAGGCAUUUUAAUGGCAUUGCUCCUGUUAUGAUGAAUUGAAUGAUUUGCUGAGUAUGGGACAACAGCGUGUUUAGGAAAGCAUGACGGUCUCUUGGAGCGGGCAAAUAAUUUUUUUCACUUUUUAUUUAAGGGAAAUUCCACGUGGUGAUGUAUUGGGUUUUUUUUACGUGUAAUUAAAAUUUUUUAAAAAUCUAUGUGUUAAUCGUGAGAUUUAUCAUAUUCUUUUUCCGUGAUCUCUUUACAUAGAAAAUGUUUAAAAACGUUAAUUACAAAGCUUGAACUUUGCUGUACGCCUAUUUAUUUGUUUAUCGGAUCAAAUUGCAUUAGUUUCAUAAUUUGAUAGUAAAAGAGGAUGGAAAAAACUAGGUUUAAAUUUGGGGAAAUUAAUGUGAUUGGGAAGAAAGAUAGUUAGAGUUAGGGUUUAAGUUUUGGGGGAAAUUUAUGAAAUUGAUGCAAUUUAAUCUGGUGAAACGAAUGAAUAAGUAUAUCGCAAGGUUUAAGCUUUGCAAUUAACAUUUUCAAAAGUAUUCAGUGUUUAAAGGUCAAGAAGAAAGAAUUUAAUAGACCUCAGUGUUACCCUAUUAAUUUUUAAAAAGUUUUGGUUAAUACUGAAAUUUACCUUUAUCUAAUUUGUAAUUUUUUUGAAGUUUUGUUGAAUAAAGAACUGAAAUUGUGUUAAAUGCUAGAACGUUUCAAAUAUUUUCAAGUGAUUGGGUCAUUUGAGUUCUAAAUUAGGUUAAGAAAAAGGAUUGAGUAUAAUUUCUAUUUCGUAGCUAGUGCUCCUAUUAACAUAUUUAUAAGGAGUUGUAGUAUAAAAUAGUUUUAAAUCAUCAUAUUUUGAAAUAUUUUGGGUAGAGCAACAAUACUUUAUGUUAAAAAAUGAUCCUGUUUGAUUGGCAAAUAAGUUCUUGACAAAAAGGCAGUGAUCGUCACCAACUUUUCCCUUGAAUCUUAAUAAAUUACUUAUUAGAAGGUUAUUGAUUGUAAGUCGAUUUAGGUCGAUAUUAGAUAAAGAGAGAGCUAACGAGAUUUUCCGAGUUAUUAGUCCACAUUUUUUUGUGAUGAUGUUAAUUGCUUACAAAUGGAGGUAAUUAUUACAUUUUAUGUAGCUUAUGGUGAAUUUAAGGCUUCUAUCAUUGAUUUUAAUGACAGCAUGCAACUGGUCAGCGUAUCAGGUUCACCAACUGUGUAUAUAAUACGACUAAUUCUUUACAAAUACGACUAAUGUUAAACUAAUACAACUAUAAUAAUACUAAUACGACUAACACUAUACUAUUACAACUAUUAUUAUGUAAAUACGACUAAUAUUAUACUAAUACGCCUAAU